UUUCUGCUUUAUCUGUCGAGUUAAUUGAGCUCUUAGGACUUGGAUUUGGUCAUUUGCUCUCCCCUUCAGUGAGCAUGUGAUACCGACCAUUUCAUCUCAUUAGCACUUGUGAUUUAUUUAAAUGAUGGUUUUUUUAGAUUCAUAACAAAUUUGAUUGAUUAAAAUUUUAGAACUGAAUUGUUAUUCUAUUCACAACCAUAGAUGCAAGUUACCCACAACUAAAUUUGAGCUACAGAAAGACUAGUUUCAUUUUUCUUCAGCUUCAUUCGUAGACCUCAUCACGUUGGCGACAUAGAACCCCGUAUACGAACCAACAGAGAAACAAUAGUCAUUUUCAUUAUUUUCCUUGGGUUCUUUCAGGUUUGCAGCCAAACGACUAGAAAUUGAGGUUGUUUCAUCAUCCGUCUCAUCAUCUAACAAUUCACUUUCAGAUUCACUGAAAAUCCUUCUGAAACCUUUGCCAUUUGUUCUGCGAAGUCGACCUUUGUCCACUGAUCUUCAGAAUUCUUGUUCUGGUCAGUUGAACCCUCAGCUGGUCCUUCUUGAAACUGGUGUGCAUAUGAAAUCAAUACAUAGCACAAGAUAGAGAAUAACCUUUCAAGGUUAGCAAUGAAAAUUAUAAAGAAAAUAACAAUAUUCGUCGUGAAGUGGAUAUAUAACUUCUGAGAAUAGUGAACGUUGAAUUUGGAAUGUGCCUUCUUUUGUUCUUCCCAGACUAAUCUCAUAUAGUGGUAAAACUUUUUAUGGGUCACUGUAAUUUCUCAUGUAAGCAGUACUUGCAACGUGCAGUAGACGGACUCAUACUACAUGUCUUGUAGAAAACUUAAAGAGUAUUAUGUAUAUAUUUGUAUUGAGAAGUGCACUACUGCUUUUAAGUCCUGGAUUCGUUUAUAAAUCACUUUCCGUCCUAUAAAAGCAAGUGUGCUUCAUGCAACACUUCUGUGGAAUACGCAAAAAUUUUGAAUUAGUGGGUUCUGCUCUCUAUACUUGCACGUGCACCCGCUCACACAUGUACACAUAUAUGUAGUCCGAGUUAGAUGCAAUUGAUUCUCUCCUAUUCGUAUCUAGUCUAAGGUUGUCACUGAUUUGAGGAGGAAGAAACAGAUAGUGAAUGGCAGGAAUAUUGAUUCUCUCCUAUUCGUAUCUAGUCUAAGUCUGUCACUGCUUCGAUGAUGGCACAAAAUCUUCAUAUACUUGAGUUGGUACAGCAGUUGUAGCUCCCUUUAAAUCCA